GACGAACCGUCCAAACGUUAUUCGGAAUUACUGGGCUUAAAGGGGUGCGUAGGCGGCGCGGAAAGUUGGGUGUGAAAUCCCUCGGCUCAACCGAGGAACUGCGCCCAAAACUACCGUGCUCGAGGGAGAUAGAGGUGAGCGGAACUUAGGGUGGAGCGGUGAAAUGCGUUGAUAUCCUAAGGAACACCCGUGGCGAAAGCGGCUCACUGGGUCUCUUCUGACGCUGAGGCACGAAAGCUAGGGUAGCGAACGGG
rnacentral:rRNA from 1 species